AUUGAACGCUGGCGGCAUGCUUUACACAUGCAAGUCGAACGGCAGCACAGGGAGCUUGCUCCCGGGUGGCGAGUGGCGCACGGGUGAGUAAUACAUCGGAACGUGUCCUGUUGUGGGGGAUAACUGCUCGAAAGGGUGGCUAAUACCGCAUGAGACCUGAGGGUGAAAGCGGGGGAUCGCAAGACCUCGCGCAAUUGGAGUGGCCGAUGCCCGAUUAGCUAGUUGGUGAGGUAAAGGCUCACCAAGGCGACGAUCGGUAGCCGGACUGAGAGGUUGACCGGCCACAUUGGGACUGAGAUACGGCCCAGACUCCUACGGGAGGCAGCAGUGGGGAAUAUUGGGCAAUGGGCGCAAGCCUGACCCAGCAACGCCGCGUGAAGGAAGAAGGCUUUCGGGUUGUAAACUUCUUUGUCAGGGACGAGUAGAAGACGGUACCUGACGAAUAAGCCACGGCUAACUACGUG
rnacentral:rRNA from 1 species